rnacentral:rRNA from 1 species
UUUGGAAUCUUGCCCAAUGGGGGAAACCCUGAGGCAGCGACGCCGCGUGGAGGAUGAAGGAUCUAGGUCUGUAAACUCCUUUUAUCGGGAAAGACUUAGGACGGUACCCGAUGAAUAAGCUCCGGCUAACUACGUGCCAGCAGCCGCGGUAAGACGUAGGGAGCGAGCGUUGUCCGGAUUUACUGGGCGUAAAGGACGCGUAGGCGGUCCGUUAAGUGUGAAGUGAAAUCUCCAGGGCUCAACCCGGAAACUGCUUUACAUACUGGCGGACUGGAGGGAUGCAGAGGUAAGUAGAAUUCCUGGUGUAGCGGUGAAAUGCGUUGAUAUCAGGAGGAAUACCGAUGGCGAAGGCAGCUUACUGGGCAUCAUCUGACGCUGAGGCGUGAAAGCGUGGGUAGCAAACAG